UACGUAGGUGGCGAGCGUUAUCCGGAUUUACUGGGCGUAAAGCGCACGUAGGCGGCUCCGUAAGUCUGGUGUGAAAUCUCACGGCUCAACCGAGAGGCUGCACCAGAUACUGCGGGGCUCGAGGACGGGAGAGGAGAUUGGAAUUCCCGGUGUAGCGGUGAAAUGCAUUGAUAUCGGGGGGAAUACCAGUGGCGAAGGCGGAUCUCUGGCCCGUUGCUGACGCUGAGGUGCGAAAGCUGGGGGAGCGAAAGGG
rnacentral:rRNA from 1 species